GUGAGGAAUUUUCCGCAAUGGGCGAAAGCCUGACGGAGCAAUGCCGCGUGAAGGAUGAAGGCCUAUGGGUUGUAAACUUCUUUUCUCAGAAAAGAAUUAUGACGGUAUCUGAGGAAUAAGCAUCGGCUAACUCUGUGCCAGCAGCCGCGGUAAGACAGAGGAUGCAAGCGUUAUCCGGAAUGAUUGGGCGUAAAGCGUCUGUAGGUUGUUUAAAAAGUAUUCUGUCAAAGAUUAGGGCUUAACCCUAGAGAGGCAGAAUAAACUUUUAAGCUAGAGUUUGGUAGAGGCAGAGGGAAUUCCCGGUGGAGCGGUGAAAUGCGUAGAUAUCGGGAGGAACACCAAAGGCGAAGGCACUCUGCUGGGCCAAUACUAACACUGAGAGACGAAAGCGAGGGGAGCAAAUGGGAUUAGAUACCCUGGUAGUCC
rnacentral:rRNA from 1 species